rnacentral:rRNA from 1 species
GGAGGAAAAGAAACUAACAAGGAUUCCCCUAGUAACGGCGAGUGAACCGGGAUGAGCUCAAAUUUGAAAUCUGGCGUCCUCAGGGCGUCCGAGUUGUAAUCUAUAGAGGCGUUUUCCGUGCCGGACCGUGUCCAAGUCCCUUGGAACAGGGUAUCAAAGAGGGUGACAAUCCCGUACUUGACACGACGACCGGUGCUCUGUGAUACGUCUUCUACGAGUCGAGUUGUUUGGGAAUGCAGCUCAAAAUGGGUGGUGAGUUCCAUCUAAAGCUAAAUAUUGGCGAGAGACCGAUAGCGAACAAGUACCGUGAGGGAAAGAUGAAAAGCACUUUGGAAAGAGAGUUAAACAGUACGUGAAAUUGUUGAAAGGGAAACGAUUGAAGUCAGUCGUGACUGUUGGGCUCAGCAGGUUCUGCCUGUGUAUUCCCCUCAGUCGGGUCAACAUCAGUUUUGACCGGUGGAUAAGGGCAGCAGGAAUGUGGCACCUCCGGGUGUGUUAUAGCCUGUCGUCGCAUACAUCGGUCGAGACUGAGGAACGCAGCUCGCCCUUGAGGCCGGGGUUCGCCCACGUCCGAGCUUAGGAUG